CAUGCGGGAACCGCGAUGAGGGUAUUCCAAGUGCUAUUACUUUGUAAUAGCUUUUCACCUGCCUAAAAAGCUGGUGGAAUAAGGGCUGGGUAAGUCUGGUGCCAGCCGCCGCGGUAAUACCAGCAGCUCAAGUGGUGAUCCUUAUUAUUGGGCCUAAAGCGUCCGUAGCCGGUCUAGUAAAUCCUUGGGUAAAUCGUACCGCUCAACGGUACGAACUCUGGGGAGACUGCUAGACUUGGGACUGGGAGAGGUCGGAGGUACUCCAGGGGUAGGGGUGAAAUCCUGUAAUCCGUGGAGGACCACCUGUGGCGAAGGCGCCCGACUAGAACGAGUUCGACGGUGAGGGACGAAAGCGUGGGGAGCAAAUGGGAUUAGAUACCCCAGUAGUCCACGCUGUAAACGAUGUCCGUUUGGUGUCGCGAACCUUACGGGGGUUUGCGGUGCCGGAGCGUAGGUGUUAAACGGACCACCUGGGGACUACGGCCGCAAGGCUGAAACUUAAAGGAAUUGGCGGGGGAGCACAAGCCGAA
rnacentral:rRNA from 1 species